rnacentral:tRNA from 2 species
AAUAAGGUGCCUGAAUAAAGGGUUAUCUUGAUAGGAUAAAUUAUGUAUGCUUUACCCUUAUUG